GACGAACGCUGGCGGCGUGCCUAACACAUGCAAGUCGAGCGAUGAAAUCCCUUCGGGGAUGGAUUAGCGGCGGACGGGUGAGUAACACGUGGGCAACCUACCUCAAAGUGGGGGAUAGCCUCCCGAAAGGGAGAUUAAUACCGCAUAACAUUAGUUUUUCACAUGAAGGACUAAUUAAAGGAGUAAUCCGUUUUGAGAUGGGCCCGCGGCGCAUUAGCUAGUUGGUGAGGUAAUGGCUCACCAAGGCGACGAUGCGUAGCCGACCUGAGAGGGUGAUCGGCCACAUUGGAACUGGGCACCGGUCCAGACUCCUACGGGAGGCAGCAGUGGGGAAUAUUGCACAAUGGGGGAAACCCUGAUGCAGCAACGCCGCGUGAGUGAUGAAGGUCUUCGGAUUGUAAAGCUCUGUCUUUUGGGACGAUAAUGACGGUACCAAAGGAGGAAGCCACGGCUAACUACGUGCCAGCAGCCGCCGUAAAAC
rnacentral:rRNA from 1 species